UGAGGAAUAUUGGGUCAAUGGGACGUAAGUAUGAACCAGCCAAGUAGCGUGAAGGAUGACUGCCCUCUGGGUUGUAAACUUCUUUUAUACGGGAAUAACAUGAGGUACGCGUACCUUAUUGCAUGUACCGUUAUGAAUAAGCAUCGGCUAACUCCGUGCCAGCAGCCGCGGUAAUACGGAGGAUGCGAGCGUUAUCCGGAUUUAUUGGGUUUAAAGGGAGCGUAGGUGGGACAUUAAGUCAGCUGUGAAAGUUUGGGGCUCAACCUUAAAAUUGCAGUUGAUACUGGUUUCCUUGAGUACGGUACAGGUGGGCGGAAUUCGUGGUGUAGCGGUGAAAUGCUUAGAUAUCACGAAGAACUCCGAUCGCGAAGGCAGCUCACCGGGCCGGAACUGACACUGAUGCUCGAAAGUGCGGGUAUCAAACA
rnacentral:rRNA from 1 species